GGCAGCUAGGGCAGUCUAAUAGUUAGCGUGCUAGACUUCGGAUCGAGCGGUCCAGGUUCAAGCCCUGGCCUGGGUCA